UGACAGUACUCCUACGGGGAGGCAGCAGUGGGGAAUAUUGCACAAUGGGCGCAAGCCUGAUGCAGCCAUGCCGCGUGUGUGAAGAAGGACCUUCGGGUUGUAAAGCACUUUCAGUCGUGAGGAAGGUAGUGUAGUUAAUAGCUGCAUUAUUUGACGUUUAGCGACAGAAGAAGCACCGGCUAACUCCGUGCCAGCAGCCGCGGUAAUACGGAGGGUGCGAGCGUUAAUCGGAAUUACUGGGCGUAAAGCGCAUGCAGGUGGUUUGUUAAGUCAGAUGUGAAAGCCCGGGGCUCAACCUCGGAAUAGCAUUUGAAACUGGCAGACUAGAGUACUGUAGAGGGGGGUAGGAAUUUCAGGUGUAGCGGUGAAAUGCGUAGAGAUCUGAAGGAAUACCGGUGGCGAAGGCGGCCCCCUGGACAGAUACUGACACUCAGAUGCGAAAGCGUGGGGAGCAAACAGGAUUAGAUACCCUGGUAG
rnacentral:rRNA from 1 species